rnacentral:rRNA from 1 species
GUCUAUGGCCAUACCACCCUGAACAUUUUCGAACUCGUAUGAUCUCAGAAGCUAAGCAGUGUCAGGCCUGGUUAGGACUUGGUUGGAAGAAUGUAAAUUAGUGCAACCACUGUGGAAGUAAUAGGGA